ACUUCUCCAAGCACAAGUGUAAGCCAAGUUGGACAAACCAUUGGCAAUUAACGAGCCCAAACAAAGAGGGCAAUGUGAGUUAAAAACUGAGAAAAAUCCACAACAGACAUCGUUACCCCCACACUGGAGUGCAUAUAAGGAAAGACUAAAAGAAAGGGAAGGAACUCGGCAAACACAAGCCUCGCCUGUUUACCAAAAACAUCGCCUCCUGACAUCCCAAUAUAGGAGGUCCAGCCUGCCCAGUGACAAUAGUUUAACGGCCGCGGUAUUUUGACCGUGCAAAGGUAGCGCAAUCACUCGUCCUUUAAGUAGGGACCUGUAUGAAUGGCCAAACGAGGGCUUAACUGUCUCCCCCAUCAAGUCAGUGAAAUUGAUCUAUCCGUGCAGAAGCGGAUAUAAUAAUACAAGACGAGAAGACCCUUUGGAGCUUAAGGU
rnacentral:rRNA from 1 species